UGCAUACAAAUGCACGCAUGAAAGACUGACAUUUAUCUCAGACCAAUUCUUCCUGUGGUAAGAAGCUUCCCACACUCUUAAUGUUUGCUUAACUUAGCUUUAGCUCAGCUUUACCUGUGUAUCCAGGUGGCCAGUACACUGUUUGAUUCCCCUCCCUGCUUGAGGCACUACACAGAGCUCAGGGACGCUGCUGUUUGUCCUUGGCUGGCUGUUUGCCAGACUGUUACUCCGAGCUGCCGCUCGCCUGCUACCUUGGGUAUCCAUCGUCUGCUGACUACCUGUCAACCUGGUUGCCGUAAAGCUGGCUCCUGGCCCUCGUCCACUGUGGCUGAUUUGGGCUGGUUUGCGACCAGCUCUACUGAUUCUUCUGGUGCUUCUCUGGGUGGCGCGAGCUGUGGUGUGGCCGUGUGCCCCAAGACGGAUUCCUAAUUAUAACUGCUGCUUGAGUUGUUGUGGACUGAACUGUAUCAUUUAAUGCAUGUCAUUUGAGUGUCUAUUUGUAUAUUUGCCAGGAACAGCCAGCUCGUGGUGUUGGCGGUGGACUUUCCGGGUGGUGGUGCUUUUUGGUUUGGUGCAUGAUUUUCUUUUAUUUUUGUUUGCUGCGUUUCUUUUGUACGCCACUACCCUGAUUUGGACUGCCACCUAGAGUGAGCCAAACUGUCAUUUUACUGUGUGAUUGGUUUUAAUGUAGUAUGUUUUAUCAAACUGAACCCAAAACAAUUGUGCAAUAAAUAAAAUUAUUGAAUUGGG